rnacentral:rRNA from 1 species
AGCAGCCGCGGUAAUUCCAGCUCCAAUAGCGUAUAUUAAAGUUGUUGCAGUUAAAAAGCUCGUAGUUGAAUUUCGGGAUCAAAGAAUCGGUCAUGCCUUGGUAUGUACUGGUUUUAUUGGUUCUCACCUUCUAAAGAACCAUGAUGUCAUUCAUUUGAUGUUAUGGGGAAUUAGGACUGUUACCUUGAAAAAAUUAGAGUGUUUAAAGCAAGCUUACGCUUGAAUACAUUAGCAUGGAAUAAUGAAAUAGGACAUCAGAUUCUAUUUUGUUGGUUUCUAGGAUCGAUGUAAUGAUUAAUAGGGAUAGUUGGGGGCAUUAGUAUUCAAUUGUCAGAGGUGAAAUUCUUGGAUUUAUUGAAGACUAACUACUGCGAAAGCAUUUGCCAAGGAUGUUUUCAUUAAUCAAGAACGAAAGUUAUGGGGGAUCAAGACGAUCAGAUACCGUCGUAGUCUUAACCAUAAACUAUGCCGACUAGGGAUCGGAUGAUGUUAAUUUUUUAAUGACUCAUUCGGCACCUUA